GAAAGAAAAAGAGAGAGAGGGAGGGAGGAGGGAAAGAAAAGGAAGGAAAGAAGAUGGUUGGACGGAUGGAUGGAAGGAUGGUUGAUAGAUAUGUCUCCCUCCCUCCCUCCCUCCCUCCCUCCCGUCCUUCCUUCCAUC
rnacentral:pre_miRNA from 1 species